GGGCCGUUGCGUAUCUAUAAUGCAGUCGACGAACUCUGGUAUUGAUUGGUGCUUGCAUCAUGAUUUACAUUUGAGUGAGUGGCGAACUGGUGAGUAACACGUGGGAAACCUGCCCAGAAGCGGGGGAUAACACCUGGAAACAGAUGCUAAUACCGCAUAACAACUUGGACCGCAUGGUCCGAGUUUGAAAGAUGGCUUCGGCUAUCACUUUUGGAUGGUCCCGCGGCGUAUUAGCUAGAUGGUGGGGUAACGGCUCACCAUGGCAAUGAUACGUAGCCGACCUGAGAGGGUAAUCGGCCACAUUGGGACUGAGACACGGCCCAAACUCCUACGGGAGGCAGCAGUAGGGAAUCUUCCACAAUGGACGAAAGUCUGAUGGAGCAACGCCGCGUGAGUGAAGAAGGGUUUCGGCUCGUAAAACUCUGUUGUUAAAGAAGAACAUAUCUGAGAGUAACUGUUCAGGUAUUGACGGUAUUUAACCAGAAAGCCACGGCUAACUACGUGCCAGCAGCCGCGGUAAUACGUAGGUGGCAAGCGUUGUCCGGAUUUAUUGGGCGUAAAGCGAGCGCAGGCGGUUUUUUAAGUCUGAUGUGAAAGCCUUCGGCUCAACCGAAGAAGUGCAUCGGAAACUGGGAAACUUGAGUGCAGAAGAGGACAGUGGAACUCCAUGUGUAGCGGUGAAAUGCGUAGAUAUAUGGAAGAACACCAGUGGCGAAGGCGGCUGUCUGGUCUGUAACUGACGCUGAGGCUCGAAAGUAUGGGUAGCAAACAGGAUUAGAUACCCUGGUAGUCCAUACCGUAAACGAUGAAUGCUAAGUGUUGGGAGGGUUUCCGCCCUUCAGUGCUGCAGCUAACGCAUUAAAGCAUUCCGCCUGGGGAGUACGGGCCGCUAGGGCUGAAACUCAAAGGAAUUGACGGGGGCCUCGCACAAGCGGUGGAAGCAUGUGGUUUAAUUUCGAAGCUACGGCGAAGAUCUUACCAAGGUUCUUGACAUACUAUGCAAAUCUAGAGAUAGAACGUUCCUUUCGGGUACAUGAUAACAGGGUGGUGCAUGAUUGUCGUUCAGCUCGAGAUCGUGGAUUGUUGGUUAAGUUCCGCAGACGAAGGCGUCACCUAUCUACCAGUGCCUAGCAUAAUUAGGAACCUUCGUGUGCAAACUGUGUCAUGAUGACAAUAUGC
rnacentral:rRNA from 2 species